rnacentral:tRNA from 1 species
CAUUAAGAAGCUGAUCUUAAGCAUUAACCUUUUAAGUUAAAGAAAGGGAGUAGUAUCCUCCCCUUAAUGA